rnacentral:tRNA from 1 species
GGGCCUAUAGUAAAAUGGUAUUACGCGCCCAUGGCAUGGGUGAGGUGGGAGUCCGAUUCUCCCUAGGUCCACCA